rnacentral:rRNA from 1 species
GUACACUCCUACGGGAGGCAGCAGUGGGGAAUUUUGGACAAUGGGCGAAAGCCUGAUCCAGCAAUGCCGCGUGAGUGAAGAAGGCCUUCGGGUUGUAAAGCUCUUUUGUCAGGGAAGAAACGGUGAAAGCUAAUAUCUUUUGCUAAUGACGGUACCUGAAGAAUAAGCACCGGCUAACUACGUGCCAGCAGCCGCGGUAAUACGUAGGGUGCAAGCGUUAAUCGGAAUUACUGGGCGUAAAGCGUGCGCAGGCGGUUUUGUAAGUCUGAUGUGAAAUCCCCGGGCUCAACCUGGGAAUUGCAUUGGGGACUGCAAGGCUAGAAUCUGGCAGAGGGGGGUAGAAUUCCACGUGUAGCAGUGAAAUGCGUAGAUAUGUGGAGGAACACCGAUGGCGAAGGCAGCCCCCUGGGUCAAGAUUGACGCUCAUGGACGAAAGCGUGGGGAGCAAACAGGGUUAGAUACCCCUGUAGUCCCAUGA